rnacentral:rRNA from 1 species
GACGAACGCUGGCGGCGUGCUUAACACAUGCAAGUCGAACGAUGAACCCGGAGCUUGCUCCGGCGGAUUAGUGGCGAACGGGUGAGUAACACGUGAGUAACCUGCCCUUGACUCUGGGAUAACUGCUAGAAAUGGUAGCUAAUACCGGAUACGACCCUCGGUGGCAUCACCAGGGGGUGGAAAGAAUUUCGGUCAAGGAUGGACUCGCGGCCGAUCAGCUAGUUGGGGAGGUAACGGCUCACCAAGGCGACGACGGGUAGCCGGCCUGAGAGGGUGGCCGGCCACACUGGGACUGAGACACGGCCCAGACUCCGACGGGAGGCAGCAGUGGGGAAUAUUGCACAAUGGGCGCAAGCCUGAUGCAGCAACGCCGCGUGAGGGAUGACGGCCUUCGGGUUGUAAACCUCUUUUAGUAGGGAAGAAGCGAAAGUGACGGUACCUGCAGAAAAAGCACCGGCUAACUACGUGCCAGCCGCCGCCGUAA